rnacentral:rRNA from 1 species
GGCGAUCAGAUACCGCCCUAGUUGCGACUUUAAACGAUGCCAACUAGCGAUUCGGCGAUGUCUUUCUAAUGACUCGCUGAGCAGCUCCCGGGAAACCAAAGUCUUUCGGUUCCGGGGGAAGUAUGGUUGCAAAGCUGAAACUUAAAGGAAUUGACGGAAGGGCACCACCAGGAGUGGAGCAUGCGGCUUAAUUUGACUCAACACGGGAAAGCUCACCCGUCCCGAACACUGUCAGGAUUGACAGAUUGAGAGCUCUUUCUUGAUUCAGUGGGUAGUGGUGCAUGGCCGUUCUUAGUUGGUGGAGCGAUUUGUCUGGCCGAUCCCGAUAACGAACGAGACUCUGGCUUACUAAAUAGUGACGGCUCAAUUUGCUUUGCCGAGCACUUCUUAGAGGGACAAGCGGCAGUACAAAGCCGCACGAGAAAGAGCAAUAACAGGUCUGUGAUGCCCUUAGAUGGACGGGGCUGCACGCGUGCUACACUGAUGGCAUCAACGUGCGUUCAAGCCUGGCCUGAAGAGGUCAGGAAAUCGAAUGAAAUGUCCGUCGUGACUGGGACAGGGAAUUGCAAUUAUUUCCCUCGAACGAGGAAUUCCCAGUAAGCGCGAGUCAUCAGCUUGCGUUGAUUACGUCCCUGCCCUUUGUAA